UUUUUUUUUUGUUCAAGUUUGAACACCCUUGAAAAUUUUGCUAGCUUCACCAACGGGGGGGUGUUCGUUAUACAACUUGCACCUCAUAGUUCAAAAGAAGUUUAGUUCAGGCUCAUCUAGUUGUCACACUCUUCUUUCAGGAUACAGGUAGUCUCGGAGCUAGCUUGCGUGCUUCUUGACUAUUCUACCGAAUACAUGCACAAGUACGGUAACACUUAUUUCCUCUAUCUUUUUGCUUUCCGUAUAUGAAAGUGCGGAGUAGGUACCAGCAGUCUUAAUAAUGCGAAUAUAACAUCCAUUCUAAUCAUUGAAGAUAUCAUUAUUGUUUUUUGUUAUUCUUCAGAAACAAUAAUGUGAAGCACGCACCUUAACGAGUACAUUAAGUGUUGAAUUUACACAAACUGGUAUACAUAACCCACGCAAACAACAUGAAUAACAAGCUUAAGCAAAAUAUUGGAACAAACUCUGCACGUAUAAAACUUUCCGGGGGGAUUUUCAUCAAAUGCUAAAAGAUAGAAGGACUCACAUGCAAAAAUCACUUGGCAACCAUCCUAGCAAUGAAAUCCUCAUACCGGAUCUUCCCAUCGGAUCCAACAACAACUUCUCGGAUCCACUCAUCAAAUUCCGCAGGCUCAAGCUUCUCCCCAAUACUCGUUAAAAUAUGCUUUAGAUCCGAAACGACGACGAAACCAGUGCCGUCUUUAUCAAGGACCUUGAACGCGUCGCGCAAUUGGCGAUCAAAUGGCUCCGGUUUGAGGUGUUUUGACAUGAGGUCUAAAAAUCGGUUGAAAUCGAACGGCGCGGUGAGUUUUUCCUCGGCGAUUAUUGAUUUGAGUUGGGCUUGGGUCGGGUUACCACCGAGUGAUCUCAUUAGGAUCCCUAGCUCCGAUGGAGCAAUUUUGCCGUCGCCGCUGGUGUCAAAGAGAGUGAAUGCCUCCUUCAUGGAGGAAAUUUGAUCGUUGCUCAGAUCUUUCACCAUUGCUAUCUCUUUGCUUUUCUCCUAUGUUUCUCUGUCUCUGGAUUUUGUCUAACGAAAUGGGGAUUCAAAUUUUGUGGUUAUAUAAACUUGAAGGGCGUUUAGGCUUUGACAUAAAAAAUACUGUAGGAGAUUUGAAAGAAAAUAUUUUUUAAGUUGAAAAAAAAAGUAUUUGAAAAUUGAGAUAUGUAUUUUAAAAAAUAUUGCAAUUUAUGAAAGAAAAAUAUUAUUUACUUAAAAAUUACUCUUUCAAAUUUGAAACUUAUGUUCAAAAAUUCAGUUAAAUGUAUAAUCAAACACAGAUUUGAAAAUAUUAUUGAAAAAAGGAAAAAAAUUAUGUCCAAACAGCCAUGUUGCUACUAAAUACUAAUAAUGCCCAUGAAAGUUAAAAUGGGCCCAUUCUAACUUAGGAUGGAAUCUCAAUAUGCAUGGAGACUAAUAAAGUAGAAAACAUGAGUAAUCACCAUUUUUUCAGUUAAACACUUAUAUAGUUGUUCAACUGAGAAUUUUUAUUAUAAAAUUUUAUUUCAUGCUUCACACAAUUAAUUUGUGUAAACUCAAAUCUUACACCUUUGGACAUUUAUGGAAUAGGUCUUCAUCAACUUUUUCUGCCCUCCAAAGCUGCCGGAAUAUAAAGGAAAAAAUUGAAAAGUAUCUCUAUUUUACUGACAUUCCAAUCAUUCUACUCGAUCAUAUUUUCUCAUAGUAAUAGUGUAAUGUAAUGUAAUACCCACAUGAACACUCAGAGAAAAAAGAAUCUGUUCAUGACACAUUAUAGAAGACACUGCAUGUAUGAUGUCAAAAUCGAGACUAAAACCAAAGUAUGCCUUACUAUUCCUGAUUUUUCUUUGCGUUUUUCAUGUCUAACUAAUGUGUGUUUCCUUUUAUGCUUUAAUCUAUUUUUUCUACAUUUUUAUGGUCAAUCGUUAGGCUUUGGUCUUGUUUGCAAUAGAGUUCAAAUCAAGAUGUGUGCCUAAUUACUCACACAUCACGUACGUGUUAUACUCUUACUUACUGCUAGAUCAAAAAGCCUUGGGGGCUUUAAUGGCUAAUAUAUAUUGUGUUACUAAGGCUGUCUUGAAGGCAGAGGCGGAUCCUGAAGAUUCCGGGUGCCAUAUUGCUUUGAACUUUGACUUGAUCUCUUUUCAGUUUUGGUUCGGGUUAUUCGUCUUUUGGAUUUAUAUAGACAAAUCGAUCAAAUAAAACAAUUUAAUAAUUAUGGUGAACAAAGCAUAAAACUUCAAUAAUAUAACUAAUAUCAACAAAAAGUAGUGUUAUCCAUUUACAGUUGUCUUCGACGAAUUUUCAUAUUCUACAGUUAUAUUUGACUAAGAGCCCGUUUGGACAUAAGAAAAAUUUUACUUUUUUUCGAAAAUAUUUCACUUUUUUCGAAAUCAGUAUGGCCAUAAAAUUUUAAAUUUUCACUUGAAGAUGAAUUUUUGAUUUUUCGAAAAUUUGAAAAACUCUAAAAAGCUAUUUUUCAAAAUUUUCACUCUAAUCAUUCACAAAACUUCAAAAACAACCCAAAAUUAUAUUCAUGUCCAAACACAACUCUAGUUUUCAAAUAACAUUUUCACUUACAAAAAAAAUUCACUUUUUUCCCGAAUUUUACAAUUCUUAUAUCUAAAAGUAAAAUACAAAAUAUCUUUGAUCGGCCAUUUUCUUCUAAGCAAAGCGUAGAAGGUCAUAUUGAAUCAUUUCUUUAAAGGUGACACCUCGAAAUUGUCAUGUUUACCAUAUAUUAUUCAGAAGUCCUAAAUGGUAAUUCAGUUGAAUUUUUAACCUUUGUCUUUUUACAAACUUAAACAUGAUUAUAUAGAGUCACAAAUUUUCAGAAACAAAAAGAUCACCCGCCCGAAAGAUUGCUGCUCUUAGCACGCAAUUCAAUUGUUUUGAUCAAAAUCUCUCGAAAAAUACUCCAAAAAAAAAGAUAUAUAAUAUUGUAUGUGAAAUACAAUUGACAACAAUAAUGCAUUGGUUCUUAAAGCUACGAAAGAAUCUUAUAGACCAAACCAGAUAAGUAAUCAUAUUAAUGGAAGAAUGUUGCAACAAUCCAACAUACGCCUCGUCAAAGUGGGCUCAAUCAUGAAUCAACCACUUUAGCAUUAACUCUAUUUGACUUAUAAUAAUAUGAUUAUUUGACUUAUAAUCUAUACUAUAUUAAAAGCACGAAUGUCUUUACCAAAAUGUCGUUCGUCUUUUUUUCUUUUAAAAUAUAUUUUACAUUGGAUAAAAUUGUAAAAUCAAAAAACUUUCCUAAUAUUUAGGAGUUGUAAAUCAAAGAAGUUUUUUCUAAUAUAAUUCGGUGUUUAAUAUCUUCUUCUAAUAAGGAUACAAAAUAUUAAAGACAUAACAGAAUACAAAAAAAGUAGGAGAAUUAUUUUUGUUGGUUUCGACUUUCGAACAAGGAAAUUUCACGAUCUUGUGUAAUAUUUUUGUUCUUUGUCCUUUUUGUUUAAUCACAAAGACCAAUUUUGCCUCUUUAUUUUCCUUUUAUAUGAUUUAUUUGUUGUUUUUUUAAAAUUUAAAAUCAUAAGUAUUUUUAGAAGCUUUGUUGUUAAAUUCGUCUAUUUCUAUUUUUAAAANNNNNNNNNNNNNNNNNNNNNNNNNNNNNNNNNNNNNNNNNNNNNNNNNNNNNNNNNNNNNNNNNNNNNNNNNNNNNNNNNNNNNNNNNNNNNNNNNNNNNNNNNNNNNNNNNNNNNNNNNNNNNNNNNNNNNNNNNNNNNNNNNNNNNNNNNNNNNNNNNNNNNNNNNNNNNNNNNNNNNNNNNNNNNNNNNNNNNNNNNNNNNNNNNNNNNNNNNNNNNNNNNNNNNNNNNNNNNNNNNNNNNNNNNNNNNNNNNNNNNNNNNNNNNNNNNNNNNNNNNNNNNNNNNNNNNNNNNNNNNNNNNNNNNNNNNNNNNNNNNNNNNNNNNNNNNNNNNNNNNNNNNNNNNNNNNNNNNNNNNNNCUUAUUUAAAUUAUACGCAAGAUUCCUAACGUAUAUGAUUUUAAAAUCACUUAAAUUUUAUUUUUAUAAAUUCUUUUCUCAUUUGAACACUUUAAAAACAAAGUUUUUCUUAGCUAAAAUUACAACUUGCUUAUUAUUAUGUGAACAAAUAUGUAGGAUCUUCUAAAAUUUAAUACUUAAAUAUUAAUUAAUAUUUCAUCAUAUAUAAUUUUUUUAUUUGAACAAAUUGGAAAUAAAAGUUUUAUUUCACAGAAAUAUAAAUACAUUUCAAUAUUCAAAAUUUGAGAUGAUUUAAAACUAAAAGUUUCAGAAAUAAUGUUUAUUUAUAUAUACUAUUAUAGAAGUGUAAAACUCCAAUAAAAAAUAUUUAGCAUCGAUAAAAUAUGAGUGAAAUCAAUCCGAGAAAGGACAAUGAAUGAAAAUAAAGAGCAUGUCACAUUUUUAAACUUUUAAACUCUUUUAUUAUAAAAGUAGCGUAACUUCAUUCUCUACAUGAAAUAUCUAUUUUAGAAUCUUGAUAAAUUGAAAUUAAAUAUUAUUUUCCUUACUUUCCAGAAAAGUAAAAAACUAAUUGAUAAAUUACAUGAUUGUAACUAGCAUAAAGGUUUUAUACUCUGUUUUAUAUCAAUGAAAAGAGUGCACUCUUAAUUCUGUUAAAAAGAUCGAUUGUCCAAAAUUUACAAUUAAUAUUAAAAUCUUCAUUAUUUUCUUAUAUUCUUUACUUGCCUUUUAAAAUUAAUAAGAAAUUAAUUAUCUUGUUAUAUAAUAACAUUACAAAUGUAGCAUCUAUGAAGAGAUGUUAGGUGAAUACGACAACAUAAGAUGUUUAUAUUUGAUAUAAUAAAUUAAUAAUAAUUACCGAUACUAUAUAGCUAAUCCAACUAAAUUCAUCAUCUUUGCAUGUUUCAAAAUAUAUUGAGUUUAACUAUUGUGUCAAUGUAAAUUAAUUUUUAUUAUUUAAACAUAUAUUGCAUUUAUUUUAACUGCAAUUGCUAAUUUUCAACAAUUUUUUUCUUGUAUACGUUUAAUGUACACGUGCAACGCACGUACACUAACACUAGUGAUAUAGAAUAGUAAUAAACUUGAAUACACAUCAAAUAAAGACUACAACACGCCAUCAAAUCUGACAAGUAUUAAUCAAAUUUUGAUUCUUCAUUUAAAAUUGGUAGAUAAGAAAAUUAAACAACUCCUAAACUAUAUAGAGUUUAAGAAAAGAAUAAACACUAGAAACGCUUCUUCGACUUGGCUUUUUCGAUCUCUUCACGUAAUUCUUUUUUCCAUAUCUGUUUUUUCUUGUUGAUUUGUUGUUCAUCAAAUUCUUCACCCAUCAGCAUUGAAAUUUCUCUUUCUGUUUCCAGAUCGAAACUCUCUUUUAUGUUUUUUCUUUGGCUUUGUAACUUCAACUUGGCUUUUUUUAACUCUUCACAUAAUUCCUUUUCCCAUGUCUGUUUUUUCUUGUUGAAUUGUUGUUUAUCAAAUUCUUCACCCAUCGGCAGUGAAAUUUUUCUUUCUGUUUCUAGAUCCAAAGUCCUUUUUAUGUUUUCUCUUUGGCCUUGUAACAUCAACUUGGCUUGUUUAAUUUCUUCACACAAUUCCCUUUUCCAUAUUUCCUUUUUCUUGAAAUUACUCUGCUGGGAGCAAGCCAUUGGAGAAUGAAAACUUUGGGCAGAGAAAAAUAUAUAGAGAGAAUGAGAGAACUGAGGAGCAACUUUGGGCAGAGAAAGAAAAAUAUACUGUAUAGAGAAUGAGAGAGUAGUAAUACUGAUGAGCAACUUAAAGAAGAAUAUAUAGAGAAUGAGAGAAUACUUGGGCAGAGAAAGAAAAAUAUAUAUAGACAAUGUUUACCCUAAUUGACACGCUUUCCUAUUCCUAUCAUCUAUAGGAAAGGAAAUUUUGAUUCAAUGUUUCGGAGAUUCCUAUUUCGUAUAGGAAAGCUGAAGGCAAUGACGCGUCGGAAAUUUGUUUAACCAAAAUUGUUACAAUUUUAUGUUUAAUUUUGUGUCAAAUCUCAAGAGAUCUUAAUUUUCACAUGUAAGAAAUCCAAAAAUUAAAUACAAGAAUCUUUGCUCAGCCAUUUUCUUCUAAUCAAAGUAUCACUAUACCGUCCGUAUCCAGAAAAUGUCAGCAUAAGUAUCACUAGAACAAAUAAUUAAGAAAAAAUGGACCUGACAACUCUUCCAAUACAUAAAGAAGACUUGAACUGGUCAGUCAAUUUCCCAAAAAGCUAAUCCAUCCCAUAUCUCUGUCUCCUCGCUGUGGUAGACUCACUGCAUAUAAGAAACAUUCACAAUCAGUUGGGCUACUGGAACCAUGUAGUAAGUAAAUGCUUUCUGGGAUAGGAAAAAAGAAAAAAAAAUACAAAUGGCUGGAUAAACGACGUCUGUAUAGAUUUCAGAAUAAUGUAAGUCUCUCCGUCCCAUUUAAGUGCCCUACUGUUAAGAUAAAAGCUGAAACUUCGAGAAAUUUAAGAAAAUGUUGGUAAGUGUAGGGAAAUUACAUUUGUUUCAAGAGAGUGACAUAAUUUCGGCACUAGCUCAUUAAUUAGCAGAGAAUCAAGAAAAGCUUAUAUUGCAUUUCAAAUAUGGCUCUAAUAGUCCAAAGCAGUGUUGUGAAGAGCGUAAAGCGAGGAAAAGCAACAACCACCUUUUCGCUUAAAGCGAGAAGCGAAAUGCUCGCUAUUUUAAAGUGAAGCGGAUAACUAAAAGAACAACUACGUAACACAUAAGAAAGGCAAUAAGAACUAAGAAUAAAGGAUAUAAAAAUAAGAGGAACGGCAGUAUACCAUUCCAGUAAAAAACGGGCAGCAUUUCAAACGAAAAAACAGUGCAAGAAAAUGAAGAAGGAAGUGGAGAAGAAUGAGAAAGAAGAACUGAAGGGAAAAAAGAAAUCGCCAGCAUUUCACUGCUAUUUGGACGCUGAACCAGUGAAAGAAAAAGAAAAAGAAGAAGAAGAAGGAAGAAGAAAUCACAUACCUAGACCAAACUUGAUGAUCUUGAAGUUGAAAAGUGUAGAAAACUUGAACCCUGGUCGCCUCUUUCUUUCUCUGUUGUUGCUGGUCGAGAUGUUUUAAAAAAAGAACAUCUUUUUUAAUUAAAUAGGCUGGCAGCCCUUUAAAACAGAGAAGCGCACGCUUCUUACGCAUCGCUUCGCAUCGUUCUUCUCGCUUUUUAAUGGGAAGAGAGCGCUUUUGAAUACCUGCUACGCUUCAGAUAGCAGAAGCGCUCGAUGGGUCGCCUCGCUUCGCUUCUCGCUUAAAGCAAGGAAAGUCCAACAGAUUAUCUUUGAAAUGGUGUAUGGAUCAGGAAGAGAGUCUAGCAGCAAUGCAAUCCAAAGCUGCUAUACAGCAUAGCUCAUACUGAAAGAUACCUAAAUUAAAACUUAUAGCCUAAAUGGGCUACUCCAUUUGAUUCAACUUAGUUUUGGAAUGUAACCUUACUUGGGUCAAAUAAGAACAGGUGGUUCAAGAACUACACGACGCCUCAAGGUCAUGGAAACUGGAAAGGAGAAAAUAUAAGUGUCUGGCAGAAGUCGUCGGUAGAACAAGUUGUAUAAGAACUAAUAUCACUUAACCCAAGAUGGUGGAUACGAAAAGGACUACCUGGACAAGAGCUACAUGGUCUAAGGGGAAAAAGGGUUGGUUAUAGCAUAAGUAUGCUGAAAUAGUGAAAUAUUAUGUGCCUAAAGUCAUAUCCAAAGUUUACGAGUAACAACGAAGAGGUUUUAACCCAAGACGCAAAUGUAUUCCUUAAGUACCCCUAUGUUCUACACGAUGUUUCAGAAUGAUGAAACCAAAAUACAGGAUACAAACCAAAGACUUGAACCAAGAAUUGUUCAAUGACAGUGCAAGGGAAGAAAACAGUAAAAUCAACAAUUAGGAAAAUGGCUAAUGGGGUACAAUGAAACAUGCAAAUAAAAAGGCUAAGCUACCGAGGGAAAAGGUCAGAUCUUCUUUCAUGCUAUGAAUAAUAUAGCCAAAGAUGCAAAUCACCUGCAUGUGAAAAAUAAGCAAAAUCAGUAAAGUUAAAAUAUUUCACUCAACUAGUGAUCAAAAUUAAAUAUGAUAUUAAUUGUAUCAAUUGAAAUUGUGAUAAUUAUGACCUACCAGAAAGAAAAUAUUACAACGAGGGUUAACCAAGUGAUCUUAAUAAGCUUUUCAAGUUUUAGGGCAAAAUUCACUAGGCUCCUCCUGGAAACUGUUGUAACUUGAACAUAGUUUGAACCAUUAAUCCUAUAGGGAUUGUUAAGUGUCUCACACUGGGAGGCAAGUCAAUUCUCUUACAGGUGAUAUCCUCAAUUAAAGGUGGAUUAUAAUCUCAACCACAAAAUACUUCUUAUCCUAGCAAGAUGAAUCUUCUGCUUUUCCAAAACAUCGCAAUGCGUUGACAACACAACAGAAACGAACGAAUGCCAUCUCUUUUAACGUAUUACUUAUGCGUCUUAACAUCAGCAAAGAACUCACUUCCUUUCCCUCUUAAGUUUAUUCUUAUUGUUAAAUAUAGUAGGCUACAGGAAAUAAAGGUCAUGAUUCAUAACUAACCUCCCAACAUCAAAUAUUGUGGUCAAGUUAAGCAAUUUGGAGGCAGCAUUUACUAAGUUAUAACUAUGUAAUUAGUUGUAUGUCUUACAUUUUGUCUAUUUCUCAGAACUCAUAAGUUAUCUUAGACCUUUUUUUAUAGUGGUGAUGUCCGAGCCAGCUCGAUCAUAUCUUGACUAUUCUGUAGGGUACUUGCUAUCUCUAACGGGUAACUCUCCCACCAAUGCAAGCAGAUGGAACGAAUUCAUCAAGCAUUCUUUGAACCCUGGUCUACCAUGAUUUACGUCUCACUUCAUCGACCACUAGAACAUACUUUUGUGUGCUUAUAGCCUUAUAGUUAUAUUUGACUUGACUAUAAUCUAUACCAUUUGUUUUAAUAACAAUGGAGUUCGGACAAACUUCUAUGCAAAUUAUAAAGGAUUACCAAUAGUGUUUAGGUGUAACUCAAUUGGUCAAUCACAGAGCCUCUAAUAAAUUUUCUUUUAAACAAUGCAAUUUAAGGGACCUUUUACAGAAGUACAAGAACAGUGGUUAUAUCCUUCUAAUUCCAGUUUCCAACUUUAUCCCUACUUGUAUUUUUGUUAUUUCAAAUGCAUUUUUUAGACUCGUCAAAGUUAAACAACACAUCAUUAAUGCGCCCAACCCCAGUGAGUGCUUAGCAAGCCGAUUAUUAAUCACUUAAAUGAAUUACUUCUCAUAGUUGUGACUUGAUUUUUUUUAAAAAAUGAUGAGGUUGUGACUUCAUAAAACAAGAUCAGAGGAUUGUAAGUUCACCAACAACCUCCAGCUCUGAUUUAGUUUCAUUGGAAAAACCAACACACAUAUCAUAUUUACUUUCUCAGCCUACUACUGAAGAUAAAUACAUAUUUAGAGAGAAAGACUUUCUGAAAUUCUCUCCUUCCCCAACCUGCAACAGGUANNNNNNNNNNNNNNNNNNNNNNNNNAAUUUUAACAAUUUUUUGUCCCAAAGCUAAUAAAUCAAUCCGGGUAUAAAUAAGAUACAAAUUUAAACACAAACAUAACACAUUAGCAUGGAAACAUAUUCAACAAUACAAAUAUGCAUGUACUAUACGAGUUUCGACAUAAACAAAAUCGAAAUACCUCAAUUUAAGUUUUGAAAUUGAUUCAAAUCGAAAUUUUGCACCCGAAUGAAGGAAUCCAAAGCUUGUCUUGUGUGCGGGACCCUACACUUUUUGCUUUUUGGGUGACGGGUGGGGCCGACCAGCAAGGGUGUUCUUUUUUAAUGGUGAUGGUUUUGUCGUUGUCUUGGGGAAGAAGGGCUUUUUAUUUAAUACUGCGUUUUCCUUAAACGCAGUAUUGUACUGCAUUUCCCUUUAAUUAAAUAUAGUUGGGCCCAAUAUUAAUAGGAAAACGCAGUACAAUACUGCGUUUUCCUAUAAUACGCAGUAUAGUACUGCGUUUUACUUUAACGGCUAACUUUCCGUUAAAUUAAAACGCAGUAUAACACUGCGUUUUAGUUAUUUAUCUAAGUAAAAACGUAUUUUUUGCCCAAAAAGGCAUUAGAAAAGUUUCGGACUCAUUCAGAAAGAUAGUACACUUUAAAAAUGUAGAGUAUCUUUCUUAUCAAACUAUGCGUCAUAGCUAGCCACUCAUAAUUUAGGGGCAAGUUACCUAAAAACACUCAGAAAGGGAAUUCAGAAAGAUAGUAUACUUUUAAAUAGUAUAGAGUACUGUCUUCCGCAUCAAUUCCUUUUCUAUCCCUACGAUUCACUCAAACAAAUCAACCCCUUAGUCAAAUCACAAUCAGAAGCCACAAAUAAUCAGUGGCACAUAACCACAAAAGUUGUGCAGGAAAACAUUUCCAGUCUUGACUAUAACCUAAAAGGAUACAUAUAAUAAGGAAUACUAUUUCCAAAAUUACAAACCUCCAGAGGCAACUAGAUGAAGUGUAAAGUAAAAUGGGCGUGGUUAUUAGCCUAGAAAAUUUGCGUCCAGAAUGUCCAUAAUGAAUUUUUAUGCCCAUUAAUACCCUUUUGGAGUAAGAGGCGAGAGUGGGUUUAAGUUUCCAAUUUCACCCUCUUAUGGUCAUAGCACCUAUAUGUAAGCUAUAUUAUAGGUCAGCUAAAAGGUGACCAAAAUUUCUUUUAACUUCUAUUUUUUCACGUCACUGCUUACACUAUUUCGUGCGAUAUGUUUAACCCUAUUCUUUCACACUACUUACGGGGUGCUUUGAUUAAAAUACUCGUUUGAUUUUCAUCAAAAAAAAAAAAAACUCGUGUGAGUUGUUUUUUAAUUAAAAAAAUGACCCACAAGUUAUUUAUCUAAAGGAAAUAACCCUCUUCUAGGAUUAAAGUAUAUUAGAGAUUAAUGAUAUUUAAGAAUAAUCUAAAACUAAAUUCAAAGAGUUGUUUAAACUUUUGAAAAAAAAACCCAAAAAACCUUAAUUUACAAAAGGUCCCAUAAUAGGGAGCGGCAAAAUUAGCCCUUGGAAAAAUGACCCACCAACCUGCCCAAGUUUGGAUUGGUUAUUGACCCGUCCAUUUAUUAACUCAGCUUAUUUUCACCCGCAGAAUUCAGCACAUCUAAAUGUUCGCUGAUUUUUAGCCCAAAUUGACCCAUGACUAACCUUGUCAAAAUAUUUUGAAACUAACUUUUUUUGUUGAUAUGUUAUAUAUAGCCUAAUAAAGAGAAAAAAAGUUAUAUUUGGUAAUUAAACAAUUUAUAAAAAACAAAUACAUUAUUUAUCUUAAGGAAAUAUAUAAGAAAGUAGUGAUGUGAAAAAAUAGAGUUAAAAGAAAGCAAAAAGUCAUUUCUAGUGGUGUCACCCAUAGUAUAGGAACUUUUUAGUUUAUAGUACUUUUCUUACUUUUUAAGUGAUUUGACAAUAAGAGAUAGAAAUUUAACUUCGACUAACUCUCCCCACAAAAGGUUAUAGUGGACUUAAAAGAUUGUUCUGCAUAUUUUGGACACAAAUUUUCUGGACAAGUAGCUUUUUACAAGUAAAAUUGUCAAGAGAGGAGGAGAGAGAAUUGCUUACUAUUUCCAGACUGGUGGAAGCUUCUUAGUCUUCUUGUAAUAGCGAGCCAAGCGGUGAAUCCUACUCUCCACCAAAAUCAAGCGGAACUUGGAAUCCUUGUCCUUCCUGUUCCUCUCCAAAUGCUUCCUGAUGGCUACUGCCUUCUUAAUUAGGUGGUAUAGAUCCUCUGGAAUCUCGGGAGCAAGCCCUAUCCAAUUGCCCAAAAUAUUUCACAUGUUAAAUCAAUUAAUUGUGCCUUAAUCCCAAGCUGGUUAGAGCUGUCAAUAUGAACUCUUAAUAUAUUUCACUCCAUUGGGGCACAUUUUGUUCAAAUCGAGAGAAGUAGUAAUUGAUAUGUUAAACCAGAUUUUACCAAAUUUAAUUGCAGUUGAAUUUCUUGCAGCCCUAAUAAUUUUAAAAAAGGUAAAUACCGUGAGCUUUGAGGAUACGCAAAAUCUUGCUACCAGUGACACUCUUGACUUGGGCAAUUCCGUGAGAAUCACGAAGGAUCACACCAAUUUGUGAAGGUGUCAAUCCUUUUUUUGCAAAUUUGCAGAUAUUAUCCUCGACCUAAAAAUUUAUGGAAACAUAAUCAUAUACGAAUCUCAAUAUACUAACUUGUUUCUACAUUUAAAAAAAAAGUAGAUGAAUUACAUCUGGAGUGGAGAUCUUAAGCCAACUGGGAGGAGUUCUCUUAUAAGGAAGAGCUGAAGCUGAUAUACCUUUACUGAAACCACAAAAACGCAAAUGAGAAAAUUAGAGUGAUAAUUUAAGUAGAAAUAUGGAGAAAACUGAGGAUAAAGCUGGUUGUAUAAAGGAAAAUUGCCAAAAGAAACGAACCCGCGACUGUGCAUACGACCCAUGGUGAAGAUGUGAGUGAAUUGUGCUGCAAAUUGUAGCUACGGUUGAAGGAAGUUGACAAACCGUAGGUUCCACUACAGGUAACUAGGGUUUACGAAAGAAGAGGAUGUUGCACGUUCCAAGGGAUUGGGCCAGAAAUCCUGGGUCCAGUUUUUGACCCAUCCAAAUCGGGAUAAAUUCAAAAAUAGCCAGAUUUACAAGUGGUCAUUCAAAAAUAGCCACAGUUUUAAAAGUAAUCGAAAUUUAGCCAUUUUUCAUGUAAAGAUAAAUUUGAACAAAAAUAAUGUUCAAAAUCCGGAAAAUACUCCAGCAUAUUAUAAUGGAGUUCCAGCAUAAUAUGUUGGAAGUUCAUAAACAGGUGCUCCAACUCCAGUAUAUUAUGCUAGAACUUUUCGCGUGUUGGAGUUCCAGCAUAAUAUGCUGAAAGUUCAUACACAAGUGCACCGAUGUCCAGUAUAUUAUGCUGGAUCGGUCCUUAUUGCAGCAAACUAAUGGCUAUUUUUCAAUGACUUUGCAAAUGCUGGCUAUUUUUGAAUGAUCAAUCUGAAAACUGGCUAGCUCGUGCUAUUUUUACAUCCAAAACAUAUCCCAACAUUUGCACAAAUAGGACAGUUUUGCGCCGUUAUUUAAGUUUUGACUCCAUUUAAUGAAUUUGUGCAAAAAUAACCUUUCUAAGUUUAACGAAAAAGGAUUUGAAUACUGUAGACAUCAAAAAAAUUUAAGCUACUACAAGUAGAGUUUGUUAGGGUUUAUUGGAGGCUACUCUACUUAAAACUCUAGCUUGGAGGCUACUCUGCUAAAAACCAUAGUUACACCUAUAAAGGGGGUCAUAUAUUCCCUUUGAAAGCAUCUCGAAUUUCGGUAAAAAUUCAUGAAAUAUUCACAAAGUGAUCAAAAAUAUCAAAUAUUGUCUUUCUCAAAGUCGCCGAAGUGAUCAACGGAUGUUCUUCCUUUUCAUGGAGAUCAAAUAUAUCCUAAAGAAGUUCGCAUCAUCCUACGUUCGAGAAAUACGUUGGUUAAGCACUCAAACCACGAAGAAUGAUCUAAAGUGUAAAAUCAAGGGAACAAACAGAAUUGUACCUACAGAGACUCAUCAAUAAAAUUACUCAUCUUUUAUUUUUGUGAUGGCGAUUUUUGACGUAUGUCGAAAUUUUAUUACAAACAAAUUGGCACGCCCAGUGGGACCAAAUUUGCAUUUCAUCUCUUCUCACGAUGAAAAAAAUAUGGUAUCUUCUUUGCAGAGAAAUCUACCCCCCCCCCCCCUCCCCCAUCCCAACAAGCCUUGAAGUAGGGGACAUUUGUAGACAUCAAAAUUUUAUCGGUUCAAUAUCAUAUAAAAUUUGGGCUAAGUUCUAAAUUUAAAAUACUACAAACAGAGUAUGUUAGGUUUUUUGGAGGCUACUCUGCUUGAAACUCUACCUUGGAGGCUACUAUACUAAAAACCCUAGCUACACCUAUAAAAGAGGCCACAUAUUCCCUUUGAAAGCAUCUUGAAAUUCCAUAAAAUUCAAGGAAUAUUCACAGAGGGAUCAAAGACAUCAAAUAUUCUCUUUCUCAAUGUCGCCAAAGUGAUCAACAAAUGUUCUUCCUUUUAUCAAAUAUAUCCUAAGCAAGUUCGCAUCAUCCUACGUUCGAGAAAUAUGCUGGUUAAGCCCUCGAAUCACGAAGAACGAUCUAGAGAGAAUGAAUCAAAGUAACAAACAACUUUGUACCCACAAAAACUCAACAAUAAAAUUACUCAUCUUUUAUGUUUGUGAUUACAAUUUUUGACGUAUGUCAAAAUUUUAUUGCAAACAAUUACCCUCCUCUUUCCUCCUCCCUCGUCCUUUUAACUCCCAUUAAUCAUUGUGUUUCACCUCAUACCACAAAUGAUUGCUCGAUAAGGCAUUAUUACCCAUUAAUAUCUUUCUUUUUUGUUGGUAAAAACAGAUACUUAUUACUUAAAAUACUAAAAUAGUCACAAACCAACCAUAUUUGGCCAGCAUUGUUGGUUAAAGUAUCAUUAAUAUUACAUACCACAUUUUUUCUACUAAAUGUAGUUCUUUGGAUGUUUGUCCAUAUUGCAUCAUUAGCAAAUAUUGAAGAAACUACCAAAAUUUAUGUCUUGUCAAAAAGCUUCUUUUUGUUUCCUUUUUAGGUAAAAGGUUUGCCCUUGCUCCCUAAAGCUAUGGUUGAUGACGGGAUUCCCUAGUCGAGCCAUCAAUGACAUGUCAAGCCAUCAAUGACAUGCAUUUAGUUAUAAUAGGGUUAUAAGGCAAAUGACCAGCAUGUAACAUCUUAAUUACUUCGAUUGAAUCAGUGUUAGUGAUAAGAGGAGUCAGUUUGUGUUCCCUAGCUAUUAUGAGGCCUUGAAAUAAAGUACUUAAUUUAGUCAAGUUAUUAGUGAUGCUGGGAAAGUCUUUCAUGAAGCCAACAACCCAAUCACCCAUGUGGUCCCUGAUAACUCCCCCUAUGCCCCCUGUUCCUGGGUUCCCAAAGGAGGAGCUAUUAGUGUUGAGCUUAUAUGCACCUCUGUCAGGGGGUUCCCACUUUAUCUGGAUGGUAGUCCACUGCCUUUGCGAAUUGUUAUUUGCCACAUAGUGAUAUUCCAUUGCCCUGGCAAUCACAUUGUGAACUGGUAUGUGGUACUUUUUGUUGUUGAACAGAUUAUUGUUCCUUGUUAGCCCAUUAAUAUCUUUUAGUUACCAUUAUCUAUCCAAACUUCUCUUUUUCUUAAUUUGACCCAAGACACGAAUUUAUUUCAAUAGUAUUUUCAAACGUCCAUAUAUGGUAUAAGUACUUUUCUUAAAAGUUGUCUAUUAUCAUUGUUUUUGUCCCACUUAGUUAAGCUUGAACAUACUUGAUGACUUGAUGUUAGUUAUCAAGUAAUUGCUAACAAAUCAUUAUCGAACAAAUUUGGUUGCAAUCUUUCCUAUUUGUAUUUUUGGUAGGAUGUGAAUAAUUCUCAAGCUUAGACAUUUGAUCUUGAAGUUUCAAACUUCAGAUAUACGUGCCUGGCGUUGGAGAUUGUCAAGCCAAACUUCGCACGUAGAUGUUUGAAGUUCCGACCGCACAUGUAAUGUCAACUUCAAAUAUUUAGAUUUGAAGUUAAGCUGACUGUCGCCAACUUUAGACCCGCGAUUUUCAAUUUCAAAAGUAGAACUCUUUUUGUCAAAAACGAGUGGAUAAAGCAUACAACCACAAACAAGGGAUGUUUAGUCUCAAAACAGAUUCCUUUCUUUUUUUCUUAAUGUUACAAGUAGAUUGCUUGCAUCAAUAAACACAUAAUUGAUCAUGGCUGAAGUUAGGAAUUAAAUAAUGGCCAAGAGAUUCCACUACAGCAAAGUAGAAGUAAUGACGCAUUGAGAUAAAGAUACAAAGCAACUGUGCUAUACACAAUUGGUUCAACAUUGCAAGAAGCAAAUGUAUUCCUCAAGUACCUCUACGUUCUACACGACGUUUCAGAAUGAUGAAAACCAAAAUACAGGAUACAAACCAAAGACUUGAACCAAGAAUUGUUCAAUGACAGUGCAACGGAAGAAAACAGUAAAUCAAAAAUUAGGAAAAUGGUUAAUGGGGUACAAUGAAACAUGCAAAUAAAAAGGCUAAGCUACCGAGGGAAAAGGUCAGGUCUUCUUUCAUGCUAUGAAUAAUAUAGCCAAAGAUGCAACUCACCUGCAUGUGAAAAAUAAAAAAAAAAUCAGUAAAGUUGAAAUAUUUCACUCAAUCCUAUUAGUGAUCAAAAUUAAAUACUCUCGCCGUUUCAAUUUAUGUGAACUUAUUUCUUUUUUAGUCCGUGCCAAAGAGAAUGACUCAUUUCCUUAUUUGGAAACAAAUUACCUUUACACAAUAUU
rnacentral:lncRNA from 1 species